rnacentral:rRNA from 1 species
AGACGGGGACCCGCACAAGCGGUGGAUGAUGUGGAUUAAUUCGAUGCAACGCGAAGAACCUUACUACCCUUGACAUGUCCGGAACUUGCCAGAGAUGGCUUGGUGCCCGAAAGGGAAUCGGAGCACAGGUGCUGCAUGGCUGUCGUCAGCUCGUGUCGUGAGAUGUUGGGUUAAGUCCCGCAACGAGCGCAACCCUUAUCAUUAGUUGCUACGCAAGGGCACUCUAAUGAGACUGCCGGUGACAAACCGGAGGAAGGUGGGGAUGACGUCAAGUCCUCAUGGCCCUUAUGGGUAGGGCUUCACACGUCAUACAAUGGUCGGUACAGAGGGUUGCCAAGCCGCGAGGCGGAGCCAAUCCCACAAAGCCGAUCGUAGUCCGGAUUGUUCUCUGCAACUCGAGAGCAUGAAGUCGGAAUCGCUAGUAAUCGCAGGUCAGCAUACUGCGGUGAAUACGUUCCCGGGUCUU